rnacentral:rRNA from 1 species
AGAGUUUGAUCCUGGCUCAGAACGAACGCUGGCGGCAGGCUUAACACAUGCAAGUCGAACGGGCGUAGCAAUACGUCAGUGGCAGACGGGUGAGUAACACGUGGGAACCUUCCUAGGGGUACGGAACAACUCAGGGAAACUUGAGCUAAUACCGUAUACGUCCGUGAGGAGAAAGAUUUAUCGCCCUUAGACGGGCCCGCGUCGGAUUAGCUAGUUGGUGGGGUAACGGCCUACCAAGGCGACGAUCCGUAGCUGAUCUGAGAGGAUGAUCAGCCACACUGGGACUGAGACACGGCCCAGACUCCUACGGGAGGCAGCAGUGGGGAAUCUUGGACAAUGGGCGCAAGCCUGAUCCAGCCAUGCCGCGUGAGUGAAGAAGGCCUUCGGGUUGUAAAGCUCUUUUGUCAGGGACGAUAAUGAUGGUACCUGAAGAAUAAGCCCCGGCAAACUUCGUG